GUCGGCUUCAUGAUUAUAUUUAUGGGAGAUAUGAAAAACGCAAUAAAAACAAAUACAGAGGAUAGAGCUUAAAUAUCCACGGUGAUUCCCAACAAAAUUUUCUUCUGUGUCUUGUUGAUAAUAGCUCCAAUGAAUAUUAGACUCGGAGAUGUGAGAUCUCCUGAUCUACCGCCAGAUACAAGAUUUCUCUAAUCACCAGGGCUUCAGCAACCAGCGGUAAGUCGACGAAAUCCUAUACCCUAGAGUUUCGAUUGAGGAUGAGUUCCCUUGAUCCAACUCGACUGAAAGGAGAGGCAUUUUUCGGGAACUCGAGAUUUUAUCGUGAAAGGGAGAGGAGGGGUUUGAAUUUUUCUGUCAGACCAAUUUAUUUAUAGUGUUGUUUUUUGAGAAGACCCAAGCUAGUCCAGCCUUCUUUUUCGCUGCAUCCCAAGCCACAUCGGUUAUACAUAUUGUGAAAACACUACACAUGUUCUCUGUGAUCGACAUCCUGAUAGAUCCAGUCGUAGAUAAGUGAUCCACACAGUGUCUUGUUUUAUUGUGCUUGGUUCCAUUCCUUCGCCCAAGCUAAGCUCUUUGUGGCUACAUCUUCCGGUUGUGAUGUCUUUGCUUCGAAGAUGAAGGAGUUGUGAUCUUUCCGUAGAGACCUAACAUAUCCAAGAGAGGAUGGUAUUAGGGACACCAUUUGGUGGAAGGCAGAUUGUUGUCUGAAGCGGACCACUGUUGCAUCAAAAAUGUCAUCAGUAGCUAUGUGAACUACAUAUUUGAGGGGGAUGUUGAGCCACACCUGUUUAGUGAAAGGGCAAAAAAAAAGAUAUGCAUUGGAGACUCUAUUUCUUGGCAUCUAGGACAUUUUACAUCUGAAAUGAUUCCCCUUUUCUGUAGGUUUUUUCCUAGAAGCAGAGCACCUUAAAUAAAAUAAUGGACCACAUGAAUACUUUUAAUUUUGGUGAGCAUUUUUUGUCGAGAGUUUAUAAAAUUAUUAGUUAUGUGCAUGACGCAUUAAAACUGCUAGUGUAUAGAAAGAAGGUAGAAAAUCUGACGGGUUUCCUGAAAACAUCAAAAGUGGAGAAAGUGAAAUCUAGAAGUUCGAAACUUGGCAGAGCUGUGUAGGCCAUACUGCCAGAAGAGUCAUAAAUGCCAAAUAUAUAUUUUGAUUAAUAAUACUCUUUGCAGCAUGAAUAAUAUAACACAACUAUUUCUGUUAUUAAUACAAUAUUACAAUAUUUUAGACUCUCUCUUCUCUCUUUUUUGAGAGAGAUGAGUUGUGGGGGUUCUCUUCUUCUUUCUUCUUCUGACUUAUAACAUUAACUCUGGUGCACGGUACUCUUCUCGACACGGUGUAACCGGCGAUGACUCUGGUGCACGGCGAUCUUCUCAACGCGGUGUAGCCAGCUCGGACUCAUAUGAUUCGCGGGCUUCUCGAUGGAAUCAUCCGGCUUUUGGGUAUGAUCGGGGUUUCAGUUUUCUUAUCACUUCAUUGAUGCGACGAUAAGUGGUUCAGGAUAUGAUGAAGCGAUACCGCGGAUGAGUUCUCGGAUCUUUAUGAUUGAAGCUCUCCGUUGGUGGGUGGUUCCAGUGUUUGUGACGUUCGCCUUUGCGGGUAUGAUUUGAUUGAGAUUGCAAUCUCGUUGAUUGGUGUUCUGCAAGGGAUAGGGCUCUGGCGGGGAUGGUCUUUGCCGUUGGGUUGUUCUGGUUCCGGUGGUGUUCCGGCGAAUCGACAGCUGGAUUUUCCAAUGAGACGGCCAUGUGACGCGUGUUGCCUUAUCAGGUGAGGGUUUCAGCAAGUGUACCGGCCACUUUAGACGUGUGGCUACGAGUGGCAUCUCUUGAUUUUUUGAAUGUGGGUCUGUGUUUGGUUUAUUGGGCCUUCGGCUUGUUUGUGUCCAUUGUCGCUUCUUUGUUGUUGUUGGUUUAUUUUUUCUUGUCUGUUUUUGGGAUUUGUCCAAUCUAGAUGGAAAAAAAAAGAAAAAAAGUGGGACAUUCAACCACAA